rnacentral:rRNA from 1 species
UUGCCAGACUCCUACGGGAGGCAGCAGUGGGGAAUAUUGGGCAAUGGGCGCAAGCCUGACCCAGCAACGCCGCGUGAAGGAAGAAGGCCCUCGGGUUGUAAACUUCUUUUGUUAGGGACGAAGCAAGUGACGGUACCUGACGAAUAAGCCACGGCUAACUACGUGCCAGCAGCCGCGGUAAUACGUAGGUGGCAAGCGUUAUCCGAAUUUACUGGGUGUAAAGGGCGUGUAGGCGGGGAAGCAAGUCAGAUGUGAAAUUCCAGGGCUCAACCCUGGAACUGCAUUUGAAACUGUUUUUCUUGAGUGAUGGAGAGGCAGGCGGAAUUCCGUGUGUAGCGGUGAAAUGCGUAGAUAUACGGAGGAACACCAGUGGCGAAGGCGGCCUGCUGGACAUUAACUGACGCUGAGGCGCGAAAGCGUGGGGAGCAAACAGGAUUAGAUACCCCAGUA